rnacentral:rRNA from 1 species
UCCCGUAUCUGAAAAUACAAUUGUGGAACUAAGCUAACGAUAAGUAGGGCGGGACACGUGAUAUCCUGUUUGAAGAUGGGGGGACCAUCCUCCAAGGCUAAAUACUCCUGAUUGACCGAUAGUGAACUAGUACUGUGAAGGAAAGGUAAAAAGAACCCCUGCGAGGGGAGUGAAAUAGAACCUGAAACCGUGUACGUACAAGCAGUAGGAGCCCCAUCACUCAAACAUAUUGAGUGGUGAGGAUGAUUCAGCACACAAAAGUAGUUAACCACUUAUGAAUGAAAUGAAUAAGUGGGUCAACCGCUAAAUAAACAGUGUGAUUGAGUGAUGGGGUGACUGCGUACCUUUUGUAUAAUGGGUCAGCGACUUAUAUUUUGUAGCAAGGUUAACCGAAUAGGGGAGCCGUAGGGAAACCGAGUCUUAACUGGGCGUGUAGUUGCAAGGUAUAGACCCGAAACCCGGUGAUCUAGCCAUGGGCAGGUUGAAGGUUGGGUAACACUAACUGGAGGACCGAACCGACUAAUGUUGAAAAAUUAGCGGAUGACUUGUGGCUGGGGGUG